CUGAGCUGCUGCUGAUGUCUCUGUUAGUAUGGCCUGUUCUGAUUCCCUUUAUUUCCCCCUUUUCUCUUCAACUUUCCCCUCUCUCUCUUCUCUCUCUCUCUCUCUCUAGAAAGUCACACUCUGUAACAUGCUGAAGCUGCAACCACAACCACCACCGUUUCAGGUUUUCCCCUAGAUAAGAUUUCCAGACAAGCUCGAAUUUUCCUGCCGGAUUGAUUGUUGUUCUUCGAAGAUAAGGAUAGAGAGUGCAAGUUUGGGGGAGGAGAAGGAGGAGAAGGAGAAGUGAUGGCGGCAUCUUCAUCUUCGGUGGCGCCGUUUUAUCGGAUUCAAGAAGGAGUGGAUCAGUUGAUUCAGCUGGAGCAGCAGCACCGCCACGCCCCAUCGGCUCCAUUGGCUUCGUCGGCAGCGGCGUCUGCGCCUCCAGCUCCAGCUUCAGCUCCCCAGAAGAAGAAGCGAAACCAACCCGGAAAUCCAUAUCCGGACGCGGAGGUGAUAGCGCUGUCGCCCAAGAGCCUGAUGGCGACGAACCGGUUCGUGUGCGAGGUGUGCAAGAAAGGGUUCCAGAGGGAGCAGAACCUGCAGCUGCACCGGAGGGGCCACAACCUGCCGUGGAAGCUCAAGCAGAAGAGCGCCAACAAGGAGGCGGUGCGGCGUAAGGUCUACCUGUGCCCUGAGCCCACCUGCGUGCACCACGACCCGUCCCGCGCCCUCGGCGACCUCACGGGGAUAAAGAAGCACUACUCCCGCAAGCACGGCGAGAAGAAGUGGAAGUGCGACAAGUGCUCGAAGCGGUACGCGGUGCAGUCGGACUGGAAGGCGCACUCCAAGACCUGCGGCACUAGGGAGUACAGGUGUGACUGCGGCACUCUUUUCUCAAGGCGCGACAGUUUCAUCACUCACCGUGCCUUUUGCGACGCGCUUGCUCAAGAGAAUGCUAGACAGCCUCCCACCUUGAGCAGCAUCGGCAGCAACCACCCCAUCUAUGGAAGCACCAACAUGGGCUUGGGCUUGUCGCAAGCGAAUCGCCAAAUGCCCUCGAUGAUGCAAGGCCAGGGAAUAAACCAAUCCAGCAACAACGACAUCUCGCCGGUUGGCCAUGCCCGGACCGGACAGUUAUUGGAUCACCUCCUCGCUCCGUCCAUCGGAACUGCUUCUUCGGCAUUUAAUCAACCACUUCCCUCAAUGGGCUCUCCGUCCCCUAAUACUUUCUUGUUCCAAGAUCAGUCAAAUCAAAGCUACAAUUCUCAGGAGCAAGCAUCACCUCACCAAGGAUUUCUCCAGAACAAGCCCUUCCAUGGGCUGAUGAUGCAGCAACUGAUCCCUGAUCAUGUCAAGAGCAACAACAAUGACCCAUCACCGUCAUCAUCAAAUAUCUUCAAUCUUGGAAUGCUUUCCAGUAGCAGCUCGAAUAGCAACAACAACAACAACAACAGCACCAGUAGCUUACUCAAUUCUGGGCUUUUGGUCCCAGAUCACCACCGGUUCAAGAGCGAGAUCGGAAGCAUAACCGGUGAUCAUCAUCAGAUCAGCUCAUCAGGAUUGCCUUCUCUCUACAGCACUUCACUACUGCAAACCGGCAACCACCAUGAUUUCUCACCGCCUCACAUGUCUGCAACUGCUCUCCUUCAAAAGGCGGCUCAAAUGGGCUCAACAACCUCAAGAACGAACACCAACAACAAUGCCUCCUUCCUAAAAACCUUCGCCAACUACUCUUCCUCAGGCGGCACCAAAUCCGACCGGUCACCACUCGGCCCGGCUAGCUUCACGGGCAUUUUCGGCAGUGACAACAACCUCCAGGAGCUAGUGGACUCCGCCUUCGGAGGCGCGCAAGAUCAUCAUCAUCAUCAUCAUCAAGAACCAGCCAGGGACGCUUACGACAGGAUCUACACCGACAACAACGCAAACAAGUCCGGGUCGGAGCAGUCGACGACGAUGACGACCCACAUGGGCCAGCACGGGUUGACGAGGGACUUCCUCGGGGUCGGAGAGAUAGUGAGACGCGCGAGCAAUAACGGCCACAACAGCAGCAGCAACAAUGGUGGGUUCAUGGACGACAAGCAACGACGACAGAACCAAGAAAAGUAUGGCCUGAUGAUCAGCGGCGACAAAGUGAUCAGCUCCUCCUUGGAUUCAGCGCCGACAAGCCAAACCUUCGGAGAUUUCCGUUGAAAAAUAGGACGAGCUUUCUUCGCGGAGACAAGACCGAGUACAGACAUUGUACUCUCGAACACCAUUAUGAUCAUCGCUAACGGACAACUAUUGUCCAUAUGGAUUAAUUCAUGAGGUUUACGGGUGCACUACUGUGCAGGAACUCAAAAGACUCAGUUAGGACAAUUGCUGAACAGGGACGAUACCGUAUUGGGCAGAUCGAACUCAAAAAGACUUCGAAACUUUUAUCUCUUUUAUGUCUCCCCUUUUCUUCUCAAACUUGUCGGUUGCUUUGUGGAAUUUGUUAAUCCCGGUAAGAAGUUGUCCUUUUUUUUUCUCCCCAUACAUUUUGGACAUCGAAAAGA